CAACUUCGGGCAACCGGCGAACGGGUGCGUAACACGUGAGCGACCUACCUCUUGGGGGGGGAUAGCCGGCCCAACGGCCGGGUAAUACCGCAUACGCUCUCUGGGGGGCAUUCCCUGGGGAGGAAACUUCCGAGACCGAGAGAGGGGCUCGCGGCCUAUCAGCUAGUUGGCGGGGUAACGGCCCACCAAGGCAGUGACGGGUAGCUGGUCUGAGAGGAUGGCCAGCCACAUUGGGACUGAGAGACGGCCCAGACUCCUACGGGAGGCAGCAGUGGGGAAUAUUGGACAAUGGGCGCAAGCCUGAUCCAGCCAUGCCGCGUGGGUGAAGAAGGCCUUAGGG
rnacentral:rRNA from 1 species